rnacentral:rRNA from 1 species
AUUGAACGCUGGCGGCAGGCCUAACACAUGCAAGUCGAGCGGUAGAGAGGUGCUUGCAUCUCUUGAGAGCGGCGGACGGGUGAGUAAUGCCUAGGAAUCUGCCUAGUGGUGGGGGAUAACGUUCGGAAACGGACGCUAAUACCGCAUACGUCCUACGGGAGAAAGCGGGGGGAUCUUCGGACCUCGCGCCAUUAGAUGAGCCUAGGUCGGAUUAGCUAGUUGGUGAGGUAAUGGCUCACCAAGGCGACGAUCCGUAACUGGUCUGAGAGGAUGAUCAGUCACACUGGAACUGAGACACGGUCCAGACUCCUACGGGAGGCAGCAGUGGGGAAUAUUGGACAAUGGGCGAAAGCCUGAUCCAGCCAUGCCGCGUGUGUGAAGAAGGUC